AAAGGUAAGCUACUAAGAGCGAAUGGUGGAUGCCUUGACUGGUAAAGGCGAUGAAGGACGUACUAGACUGCGAUAAGCUACGGGGAGCUGUCAAGAAGCUUUGAUCCGUAGAUUUCCGAAUGGGGCAACCCAAUGUAUAGAGAUAUACAUUACCUAUAUAGGAGCGAACGAGGGGAAUUGAAACAUCUUAGUACUCUCAGGAAAAGAAAUCAAUAGAGAUUGCGUCAGUAGCGGCGAGCGAAAGCGCAAGAGGGCAAACCCAGUGCUUGCACUGGGGGUUGUAGGACUGCAAUGUGCAAGAGGUAAGUUUAGCAGAACAUUCUGGAAAGUAUAACCAUAGAGGGUGAUAGUCCCGUAUGCGAAAAACAAACCUUAGCUAGCAGUAUCCUGAGUAGGGCGGGACACGAGGAAUCCUGUCUGAAUCCGGGUCGACCACGAUCCAACCCUAAAUACUAAUACCAGAUCGAUAGUGCACAAGUACCGUGAGGGAAAGGUGAAAAGAACUGAGGUGAUCAGAGUGAAAUAGAACCUGAAACCAUUUGCUUACAAUCAUUCAGAGCCCUAUGUAGCAAUACAGGGUGAUGGACUGCCUUUUGCAUAAUGAGCCUGCGAGUUGUGGUGUCUGGCAAGGUUAAGCAAACGCGAAGCCGUAGCGAAAGCGAGUCUGAAUAGGGCGCUUAGUCAGAUGCUGCAGACCCGAAACGAAGUGAUCUAUCCAUGAGCAAGUUGAAGCUAGUGUAAGAACUAGUGGAGGACUGAACCCAUAGGCGUUGAAAAGCCCCGGGAUGACUUGUGGAUAGGGGUGAAAGGCCAAUCAAACUUCGUGAUAGCUGGUUCUCUCCGAAAUAUAUUUAGGUAUAGCGUUGUGUCGUAAUAUAAGGGGGUAGAGCACUGAAUGG
rnacentral:rRNA from 1 species